rnacentral:rRNA from 1 species
GGGGGGGGGGGGGGGGGGGGGGAGGGGAUGCAAGGGGAGCGGAGGGGGGGAGCUGGGUCCGGGAUGCAGCGGCGGACGGGUGAGGAAUGGCUAGGAAUCUGCCUGGUAGUGUGGGAGAACGUCCGGCAACGGGCGCUAAUACCGCAGACGUCCUGAGGGAGAAAGGGGGGCAUCUUCGGACCUCACGCUAUCAGAUGAGCCUAGGUCGCAUUAGCUAGUUGGUGGGAUAAAGGCCGACAAAGGCGAAGAUCCAUAACUUGUUUAAGAUGAUGCUCAGGCACACGAGAAAUGAGAAACGGUCCAGACUGCUACGGGAGGAAGCAGAGGGGAAUAUUGGAAAAUGGGCGAAAGCCUGAUCCAGCCAUGCCACGUGUGUGAAGAAGGUCUGCGGAUUCUAAAGCACUUUAAGUUGGGAGGAAGGGCAGUAAGUUAAUAACUUGCUGUUUUGACGUUACAUAAAGAAUAAGCACCGGAUAACUUCGUG